GACGAACGCUGGCGGCGUGCUUAACACAUGCAAGUCGAACGGAAAGGCCCUGCUUUUGUGGGGUGCUCGAGUGGCGAACGGGUGAGUAACACGUGAGUAACCUGCCCUUGACUUUGGGAUAACUUCAGGAAACUGGGGCUAAUACCGGAUAGGAGCUCCUGCUGCAUGGUGGGGGUUGGAAAGUUUCGGCGGUUGGGGAUGGACUCGCGGCUUAUCAGCUUGUUGGUGGGGUAGUGGCUUACCAAGGCUUUGACGGGUAGCCGGCCUGAGAGGGUGACCGGCCACAUUGGGACUGAGAUACGGCCCAGACUCCUACGGGAGGCAGCAGUGGGGAAGAUUGCACAAUGGGCGGAAGCCUGAUGCAGCAACGCCGCGUGCGGGAUGACGGCCUUCGGGUUGGAAACCGCGUUCGCCUGUGACGAAGCGUGAGUGACGGUAAUGGGUAAAGAAGCACCGGCUAACUACGUGC
rnacentral:rRNA from 1 species